rnacentral:rRNA from 1 species
CGUAGGGUGCGAGCGUUAAUCGGAAUUACUGGGCGUAAAGCGUGCGCAGGCGGUUUUGUAAGCCAGAUGUGAAAUCCCCGGGCUUAACCUGGGAAUGGCAUUUGGGACUGCAAGGCUGGAGUGCGGCAGAGGAGACUGGAAUUCCUGGUGUAGCAGUGAAAUGCGUAGAUAUCAGGAGGAACACCGAUGGCGAAGGCAGGUCUCUGGGCUGACACUGACGCUCAUGCACGAAAGCGUGGGGAGCAAACAGGAUUAGAUACCCUGGUAGUCCACGCCCUAAACGAUGUCGACUGGUUGUUGGGGGUUUGACACCCUCAGUAACGAAGCUAACGCGUGAAGUCGACCGCCUGGGGAGUACGGCCGCAAGGUU